rnacentral:rRNA from 1 species
UGCGCCUUGCCAGCCCGCUCAGAAACUCAAAGGAAUUGACGGGGGCCCGCACAAGCAGCGGAGCAUGUGGUUUAAUUCGAAGCAACGCGAAGAACCUUACCAAGACUUGACAUCCCCUGACAGCUGUUGAAAGGCAGUGUCUCUUCGGAGCAGGGAGACAGGUGGUGCAUGGUUGUCGUCAGCUCGUGUCGUGAGAUGUUGGGUUAAGUCCCGCAACGAGCGCAACCCUUAUCCUUAGUUACCAGCACGUAAAGGUGGGGACUCUAGGGAGACCGCCGGGGACGACUCGGAGGAAGGUGGGGACGACGUCAAAUCAUCAUGCCCCUUAUGUCUUGGGCUACACACGUGCUACAAUGGCCGCAACAGAGGGAAGCGAGAGCGCAAGCUGGAGCAAAACCCUAAAAAGCGGUCCCAGUUCGGAUUGUGGGCUGCAACCCGCCCACAUGAAGUCGGAGUUGCUAGUAAUCGCGAAUCAGCAUGUCGCGGUGAAUGCGUUCCCGGGCCUU